UGGGAAUUUUGGACAAUGGGCGAAAGCCUGAUCCAGCAAUGCCGCGUGUGUGAAGAAGGCCUUCGGGUUGUAAAGCACUUUUGUCCGGAAAGAAAUCCUUGGCUCUAAUACAGUCGGGGGAUGACGGUACGGAAGAAUAAGCACCGGCUAACUACGUGCCAGCAGCCGCGUAAUACGUAGGGUGCAAGCGUUAAUCGGAAUUACUGGGCGUAAAGCGUGCGCAGGCGGUUUGCUAAGACCGAUGUGAAAUCCCGGGCUCAACCUGGGAACUGCAUUGGUGACUGGCAGGCUAGAGUAUGGCAGAGGGGGGUAGAAUUCCACGUGUGAGCAGUGAAAUGCGUAGAGAUGUGGAGGAAUACCGAUGGCGAAGGCAGCCCCC
rnacentral:rRNA from 1 species